rnacentral:rRNA from 1 species
GUGGGGAAUUUUGGACAAUGGGCGCAAGCCUGAUCCAGCAAUGCCGCGUGUGUGAAGAAGGCCUUCGGGUUAUAAAGCACUUUUGGCAGGAAAGAAAUAGCGCGUGCUAAUACCAUGCGCGAAUGACGGUACCUGCAGAAUAAGCACCGGCUAACUACGUGCCAGCAGCCGCGGUAAGACGUAGGGUGCAAGCGUUAAUCGGAAUUACUGGGCGUAAAGCGUGCGCAGGCGGUUUUGUAAGACAGGUGUGAAAUCCCCGGGCUCAACCUGGGAACUGCACUUGUGACUGCAAGGCUAGAGUGUGUCAGAGGGAGGUGGAAUUCCGCGUGUAGCAGUGAAAUGCGUAGAGAUGCGGAGGAACACCGAUGGCGAAGGCAGCCUCCUGGGAUAACACUGACGCUCAGGCACGAAAGCGUGGGGAGCAAACAGGAUUAGAAACCCUAGUAGUCC